GAUGAAGAACGUAGUGAAAUGCGAUAAGUAGGGGGAAUUGCAGAAUUCAGGGAAUCAUCGAAUCUUUGAACGCACAUUGCGCCCCUUGGUAUUCCAUGGGGCAUGCCUGUUCGAGCGUCAUUUACACCCUCAAGCUCUGCUUGGUGUUGGGCGUCUGUCCCGCUGCUUUGCGCGGACUCGCCUCAAAGGUAUUGGCAGCGAUCAUGCCAGCUUCUCGCGCAGCACAUUGCGCUUCUUGAAGUUCUGGUGGAUCAGCGUCCAUUAAGCUUACCUUCAUGACUUGACCUCGGAUCAGGUAGGGAUACCCGCUGAACUUAAGCAUAUCAAUAAGCGGAGGA
rnacentral:misc_RNA from 1 species